rnacentral:lncRNA from 1 species
UGGCAGUUGAGUCCAAAUAAAAGAAAUGUAUUGCAGAGUCGGUUAAGGACAAUUACAAAUAUGUUGUAACUUUCUUAAAUAAUUAAAUUAUGUAUUUAACAAAAAAAAAAAAAAAGGAUGAAAGAGAAGUCUUAAAUUGAUGACAACGCUAUUAGUUGGCCUAAACUCACAUCAGAAGCCUGCCAAAAAAAUUCCAACAGAAAUAGACGAAAUAAACAUAUAUUUAUUCAGUAAAUCAUCUCUGUAUAUAAAUUGUAUCAACAUAAACAAACCAAUGAGCUAUGAAUUCACAUAAUAGCCAAAAUUAAAGAAGAAACUGGCAAGUGUUCAAUCUGUAUAUGUAUAUAUCAAACUGGAAUAUACCACAUUCAAUUGAUACAAUCUUGUUCAUCAUCAACAGAGCUGUGCACAUAGCCCCUGAAUCUGCCUUGCAGUCGGAUUUAGCAAGGAAAACGUCUUGCUUUUCCCAUUACUCGAGCAUGUUAGCGUAUAUUGGUUCCCCGUUUGCUCAGACUGCAAAUUGGCAGACACAAAUUAGAUCAUGCAAAUAUAACAAUACAUGACUUAUAGGAUAUCGACAUUGGUAAAUCUCGCAAAUGUUACAACUGUUUUAGUCAAAAUUCUGCUAACGAGUAGCUAACUGGCUCAAGCCUGAGGCAAGCUGGGGGCACGAGCCAAGCAGCAAAAAACUCGUGCAAACCAGCUCACCUGUGGCCUGCGAGCUAACACCUCUACUAGAGGGAAAUAAAGAAUCUUCUUAAGAAAUAUCAACCUUCAACCAAUGUGAUCUUCUUCACCCAGUUUUUUGCCAAGUUAACUUGAACUGUCUCAUACGAAAAAAUUUGCAAUCUUCUUGACAAAACACAAAUAAAAAUUUGAAGCAAUAGCCUUCUAUACUCUGCUUGCACGAAUA